rnacentral:rRNA from 1 species
CAAUAGCGUAUAUUGAAGUUGUUGCAGUUAAAAAGCUCGUAGUUGAACUUCAGGCUUGGCGGGGUGGUCUGCCUCACGGUAUGUACUACCCGGCCGAGCCUUACCUCCUGGUGAGCCUGCAUGCCGUUUAUUCGGUGUGUAGGGGAACCAGGAAUUUUACUUUGAAAAAAUUAGAGUGUUCAAAGCAGGCUCGACGCCGGAAUAUAUUAGCAUGGAAUAAUAAAAUAGGACGUGCGGUUCUAUUUUGUUGGUUUUUGGAAUCGCCGUAAUGAUUAAUAGGGACAGUCGGGGGCAUUAGUACUCACAUGCUAGAGGUGAAAUUCUUGGAUUUUGUGAAGACUAACUUCUGCGAAAGCAUUUGCCAAGGAUGUUUUCAUUAA